UACGUAGGGCGCAAGCGUUAUCCGGAAUUAUUGGGCGUAAAGAGCUCGUAGGCGGUUUGUCGCGUCUGCUGUGAAAAUCCAGGGCUUAACCCUGGACCUGCAGUGGGUACGGGCAGACUAGAGUGCGGUAGGGGAGAUCGGAAUUCCUGGUGUAGCGGUGAAAUGCGCAGAUAUCAGGAGGAACACCGGUGGCGAAGGCGGAUCCCUGGGCCGUAACUGACGCUGAGGAGCGAAAGCAUGGGGAGCGAACAGG
rnacentral:rRNA from 1 species